AUCACACCCACUGAGAGGGCUCCGUUAGUCAAACAACCAGACCACUGCUCCGUUUCUCCGUUCUCCCCCACUGCACUUCUUCUCAAGUCAAUUACUAAUGAAAUGGAUUUCCUUCAUCGUCUCACAGAGAAAUGGGAGAGAGAGAUGGACUGGGCUGAAGUGUUUGGUAACUGGUGAAGACAGGAACUGAAAAUAUAACUUGUGAGGCCAUUGAAGUGAAGAAAUGGAUCAUAAGGGGGAAGAGAGUACGGAAAGGUUCUGACAGAUAUUUUGGGAUUUGUAUGAUUUUAAAUAAGGAAAAUAUGCAUGUUACAUUAUGACAAGGAGAAAGUCUAUAAUAACGAAACAUAGCAUUCAUAUAUUCCUAUCAACCAAUUCACUUCCUCCGGUAUAUAGUCAAAGGUUUGAGAAAAAUUUGAAAAAGGUUUGUCACAUUGAGGCCACCAUACAAUAGUGUUCUGGGCUUGUUAUUGUAGCAGCCUGCUAACAAUAUGAGAUGCUCUGCUCUGUCCUACAUGCCUUUCUAUUAGCAUAAUAAAAUCUGUCUUCUUUC